AGAGUUCAAUUCUAUCUUUCUCCUUUUU
rnacentral:sRNA from 1 species